GCGGGAAUGCCAGAGCGGUCAAAUGGGACGCGUUAAGGCCGCGUUGGCUUAGUGCCUGCGAAGGUUCAAAUCCUUCUUCCCGCA
rnacentral:tRNA from 1 species